rfam:Gasterosteus aculeatus cont1.014889, whole genome shotgun sequence.
CCUGUUGAGCUUGACCCAAGCUUGAAGAAAUUUAAUGAAGCGCGGGUAAACGGCGGGAGUAACUAUGACUCUCUUAAGGUAACCAAAUGCCUCGUCAUCUAAUUAGUGACGCGCAUGAAUGG